UACGGAGGGUGCAAGCGUUAUCCGGAUUUAUUGGGUUUAAAGGGUCCGUAGGCGGAUCUGUAAGUCAGUGGUGAAAUCUCAUAGCUUAACUAUGAAACUGCCAUUGAUACUGCAGGUCUUGAGUGAGAUUGAGGUAGCUGGAAUAAGUAGUGUAGCGGUGAAAUGCAUAGAUAUUACUUAGAACACCAAUUGCGAAGGCAGGUUACCAAGUCUUAACUGAACGCUGAUGGACGAAAGCGAUGGGAGCGUAACGGAGGA
rnacentral:rRNA from 1 species